UACGUAGGGGGCAAGCGUUGUCCGGAAUCAUUGGGCGUAAAGAGCGUGUAGGCGGCCCGGUAAGUCCGCUGUGAAAGUCCAGGGCUCAACCCUGGGAUGCCGGUGGAUACUGUCGGGCUCGAGUCCGGAAGAGGAGUGUGGAAUUCCUGGUGUAGCGGUGAAAUGCGUAGAUAUCUGGAGGAAUACCGGUGGCGAAGGCGGCAUCCUGGACCGGCAUUGACGCUGAGGAGCGAAAGCCAGGGGAGCAAACGGG
rnacentral:rRNA from 1 species